AAUUCUCAACUCAAUCACCUUUGCUGGUGUUUGGGCUUGGACUUGGGGGUUUGCUGGCUUCGGUCGGCUCCCCUUGAAUGCAUUAGCUCGAACCCUUGCGGAUCAGCUAUCGGUGUGAUAAUUGUCUACGCCGUGGUUGUGAUGCCACCUUCGGGUGUUGGAUCGGCUUCUAACCGUCCCCUAGGGACAAUUUCUUUGAA
rnacentral:misc_RNA from 1 species